rnacentral:rRNA from 1 species
GGCUUGCCUAAUACAUGCAAGUCGAGCGAAUGGAUUAAGAGCUUGCUCUUAUGAAGUUAGCGGCGGACGGGUGAGUAACACGUGGGUAACCUGCCCAUAAGACUGGGAUAACUCCGGGAAACCCGGGCUAAUACCGGAUAACAUUUUGAACCGCAUGGUUCGAAAUUGAAAGGCGGCUUCGGCUGUCACUUAUGGAUGGACCCGCGUCGCAUUAGCUAGUUGGUGAGGUAACGGCUCACCAAGGCAACGAUGCGUAGCCGACCUGAGAGGGUGAUCGCCCACACUGGGACUGAGACACGGCCCAGACUCCUACGGGAGGCAGCAGUACGGAAUCUUCCGCAAUGGACCAAAGUCUGACGGAGCAACGCCGCGUGAGUGAUGAAGGCUUUCGGGUCGUAAAACUCUGUUGUUAGGGAAGAACAAGUGCUAGUUGAAUAAGCUGGAACCUUGACGGUACCUCACCAGAAAGCCACGGCUCACUACGUGCCAGCAGCCGCGGUAUUACGUAGGUGGCCAGCGUCAUCCGGAAUUAUUGGGCGUUAAGCGCGCGCAGGUGGUUUCUUAAGUCUGAUGUGCAAGCCCACGGCUCACCCGUGGAGGGUCAUUGGAAACUGGGAGACAUGCGUGCAUAACAGGAAACUCGGAAUUUCAUGUGUAUCUUUUUAAUUGCAUACAGAUAUGAGAGGAACACCGGUGGCCAAGGCGAUUUUCUCCUCUAUAACUGACAAUGAGGCGCCAAAGCGUGGGGAGCAAACCGGAUUAUAUACCCUUAUAGUCCACGCCGUAAACGAUGAUUGCUAAUAGUUACAGAGUCUCCGCUCUUUAGUGCUGAAGUUAACGCAUUAAGCACUCCGCCUGGGGAGUAUAGACGCAAGGCUGAAACUCAAGGGAAUUGACGGG